CAGUCGCCACGGUAAUACAUAGGUGGCAAGCGUUGUCCGGAAUUAUUGGGCGUAAAGGGCUCGCAGGCGGUUUCUUAAGUCUGAUGUGAAAGCCCCCGGCUCAACCGGGGAGGGUCAUUGGAAACUGGGAAACUUGAGUGCAGAAGAGGAGAGUGGAAUUCCACGUGUAGCGGUGAAAUGCGUAGAGAUGUGGAGGAACACCAGUGGCGAAGGCGACUCUCUGGUCUGUAACUGACGCUGAGGAGCGAAAGCGUGGGGAGCGAACAGGAUUAGAUACCCCGGUAGUCCCUGUCUCUUAUAA
rnacentral:rRNA from 1 species